rnacentral:rRNA from 1 species
GUCCGCACAGUAAACGAUGAAUACUAACUGUUUGCGAUACACAGCAAGUGGUACAGUGAAACGUUAAGUAUUCCACCUGGGGAGUACGCCGGCAACGGUGAAACUCAAAGGAAUUGACGGGGCCCGCACAAGCGGAGGAACAUGUGGUUUAAUUCGAUGAUACGCGAGGAACCUUACCCGGGCUUGAAUUGCAAAUGAAUAGUGUGGAAACAUGCUAGCCAGCAAUGGCAUUUGUGAAGGUGCUGCAUGGUUGUCGU